ACUCCCUCUGUUCCAAAUUACUCGUCGUGGUUUUAGUCCAAAUUUGAACUAAAACCAUGACGAGUAAUUUGGAACGGAGGGAGUA
rnacentral:pre_miRNA from 1 species